AGAGGAUGUCAGAUCCCCUGGAACUAGAAUUACAGGUGGUUGUAAGCCGCCUGACCUGAGUACUAGGAACUGUGUUUGGAUCCUCUGCAGGAGCAGCUUUUCAACUUUUACACCCUCUUUCUAUCUCACCACUUUCUAUCUGAGACAGGGCCUCUCACUUGCUUGGAACCUGCUGCUCAGGGCAGGCUGCACCUCUGGAGGGCUGGGAUAAAGUGCAGGCCACCGUCAAUGCACCAUGCCCACGAACCCGGCAAAUCCAGUCAUCUCUUCAGCACACACAGCAAGCACUUCACAGGGAAAGAAGAACAAGUGCGAAAAGACGCUUGUCUCAGUACAAAUCACAGAGAAUGCUCAGAGUUGCUGAAGACAAGUUCCUAAAGAAAAUUACUAUCUGAUUAGAAGCAGACUUCCUGGAUAAGAUAGUGUACCAUGUGUGUGCUUGGUGCCUGUGGAGGCCUGAAGAGGGUGACAGAUCCCCUAGACCUGGAGCUAUAGAUGGCAUUGAGCCAAAUUUGAAAUUGGGCUACAAAUCACCCACGCCUUCUCCUUCCUCUCCUCCUUCCCUGCUUUCUUUUCUGUUUGGAGCUGGAGACUGAACCCCUAGCCUCGAGUGUCCUAGCUGUAACCCCAGCACCAUUUUUAAAUUAGAGGCUUCAAAGCAGGAAACACAUGUGGAAACACAUUA